rnacentral:rRNA from 1 species
CACGUAGGGUGCGAGCGUUGUCCGGAAUUAUUGGGCGUAAAGAGCUCGUAGGCGGUGUGUCGCGUCGGCCGUGAAAACCUGCAGCUUAACUGUGGGCUUGCGGUCGAUACGGGCAUCACUGGAGUUCGGCAGGGGAGACUGGAAUUCCUGGUGUAGCGGUGAAAUGCGUAGAUAUCCGGAGGAACACCAGCGGCGAAGGCGGCUUUCUGGUCCGAUACUGACGCUGAGGUGCGAAAGCGUGGGGAGCGAUCCGG